UUAAGUUGGGCACUCUAGAGGGACUGCCGGUGAUAAGCCGGAGGAAGGUGGGGAUGACGUCAAGUCCUCACUGGCCUUACGGGUUGGGCUACACACGUGCUACAAUGGCGGCGACAAUGGGCAGCGAAGGGGCGACCCGGUGCAAAUCCCAAAAAGCCGUCUCAGUUCGGAUUGUACUCUGCAACUCGAGUGCAUGAAGGUGGAAUCGCUAGUAAUCGCGUAACAGCAUGACGCGGUGAAUACGUUCCCGGGCCUU
rnacentral:rRNA from 1 species